rnacentral:rRNA from 1 species
UAGCAUAAUAAAUAGUCUUUUAAUUGGAGUCUAGUAUGAAUGGUCGGACAUGAAGUAAGCUGUUUCAGCUUUAGUGACUGAAUUUUACUUUUAAGUGAAAAGGCUUAAAUUGGGCGGUGGGACGAUAAGACCCUAUAAAGCUUUACAUUCCGUUCACUGUGCUGGGGAGUUAGGGUUUCUUGUUUUAGUUGGGCGGGCUGUUUCGUUGGGGCGACGGGAAUAAAAUAGUAACUGUUUCUUGCAUAAAAAUACAUGUUUGUAGGCGAGUUGAUCCUUUUUAGAGAUUAAAAGAUUUAAGUUACUUUAGGGAUAACAGCGUAAUUUCUCUUGAGAGUUCAUAUCGACAGAUGUAGUUGCGACCUCGAUGUUGAAUUAAAAUGCCCCCCAGGUGUAGCAGUUUUGGUGGUAGGUCUGUUCGACCUUUAAAA